UCGAGAAUCAUUCACAAUGGGGGAAACCCUGAUGGUGCGACGCCGCGUGGGGGAAUGAAGGUCUUCGGAUUGUAAACCCCUGUCAUGUGGGAGCAAAUUAAAAAGAUAGUACCACAGGAGGAAGAGACGGCUAACUCUGUGCCAGCAGCCGCGGUAAUACGUAGGGGGCAAGCGUUAUCCGGAAUUACUGGGCGUAAAGGGCGCGUAGGUGAGCGCUUAAGUCAGGUGUGAAAACUCCGGGCUCAACCUGGAGACGGCACAUGAUACUGCGAGACUAGAGUAAUGGAGGGGGAACCGGAAUUCUCGGUGUAGCAGUGAAAUGCGUAGAUAUCGAGAGGAACACUCGUGGCGAAGGCGGGUCCCUGGACAUUAACUGACGCUGAGGCACGAAGGCCAGGGGAGCGAAAGGG
rnacentral:rRNA from 1 species